AUGUUGUAAACAUGACCUUUUAGAUUAGAAUAACCAUUCAAUUUAUAGCAUACAGUUUCCAGUGGCCCAGACAUUAUUUUCACUCGAAUAGUAUUUCAACCUCCACAUAGAGGCGAUAUUCCGCGUUUGAGGAUGUUGGACGAGACGCACAGAAGAAGAACCUACUGUCAUUAGCAACAACCGUGGCGGCGCCCGCAAUGUUGACUUUACAGUCAUUAAUUCAUUUAAAAAAAUGACUUGUGUUUAGAAGCGACCAUAUCGUUAUUACUAAGAUCGAAUUUCAAUAACCUGCAUGGAUCUGUGCUAAACUACUUCAAUAAUUGUAUAAUGUUAUUUGAAGGAUUCUUUCUCGCUGACGAAAGGUAAGGUCCAUAAGGUUUCGAAAGCCGCGUCGCAAUCGAUAGCUUGUGGGCGAAGGUAAUGGCUGGGACUCUAGGGAGAAGGCAGAAUGCCGCCCAGGGUUUUCGAGAGUUAGCUAUUAUCAUAUGUCAAACAUUGAUGUCAAGCUGGGUUUUGGCUAACUGUUUUUGGGGCAUGGAAUUAGACCUACAUUUGAGUGCGAAUAGUUUCCUAAUUAAAGUUUACCCCAGACCUGCUUCCCCUAUUCAGGAGACAGUAUGAGAACAACAUCUUAACAGGUAAUAAUGGAGUUGGGAGCUGGAUGUUAAGUGAGUGUCACAAAGUUUUGGUUGUUAAUCUAGUUAUAUUGAUCAAUAAUGUUUGCGCCAGCCUGCAACCGGUCUGUUUCCGCUUUAGUAAUUUACUUUGUUAUUCUCAUAGGGGGUGCUUCAUUGUUUCCACUAGUGUUGGUGGUAGUAGUAUCAAAGUAUUUUGUGUCCGUGUCUAUUUCAACAUGGUUAUUUUUCUCUCUGCUUUCCCAGGAGCCAAAUUUCCUGACCCAGGCUGUUAUGGCCACACCCAGUUCCACCUGGUCCCUGAUCGGUAUCGCAGGGACAAAAUGGCUUAACUGAAUCUGACUGACCAGAUUGAGGUCUACCUGAGAGCUCAUGGCAUUGCCAGUCUAUUCACAUGGACAGGAGCACAAGCCAUGUAUCAUGGUUUCUGGAACCAUGAGGAUGUGGCCAGGUCCUUUGUGUCCCACUAUUGGCCAGUACUUCUCUUUCUUCUGUUACCAGCUCAACUCCCUGGCCCUGUCCAUGAGACGGAUGCUGUGAACCCCAGGAAGAACUUGUGCUGGGGGACAGACAGUAUUCAUCUGUAUGAAAUGAAGCAUGGUGUUGUGGUUGGGCUGGAUUACAGGGUCCUCAAGCUCCUGGUCUGGUUCCUACUGGGCAGGUCAGGUGGACAUGGAGAGAUGGUGUAUGCAGGGUGAAAUAAGUGUUUUUGUUGAAUUGUUUCCAUUUGGAUUCAACAGUGGCAAAUGUCAAUUCAUGUACACUGACCAUGUGCAGUGUAUAUGUAUGUACGGUGUGUGUAUCUCUGGUCUGAUCUGGCAGAAUGUAUUCAUGUGGAAAGUAAAAACAGUUGCAUACAGGGUUGAUUGGUGUCCACAACACUAAGGACCUAUCAUGGUUCAAACACACCAACAUAGUUGUGAAGUGGCCACAACAAUGCCUCUUCCCCCUCAGGAGGCUGAAAAGAUUUGGCAUGGGCCCCUGUUAUUCAAAAAGUUAUACAGUGGCACCAUUGUGAGCAUCUUGACUGGCUGCAUCACCUUUUUGUAUGGCAACUGCUCGGCAUCUAACCGCAAGGCACUGUGGAGGGUAGUGCGUGCCUACGGCCCAGUACAUCACGGGUUGUGCUCCCUGCCAUCCAGGACCUCUAUACCAGGCUGUUUCAAUGGGGAAAGAUUGGCUCGUACCCCGCUUCAGUGAUUGUUGAAAACCCUGCUUCCGGUGUUCUGCUGUUUGCCACUAGGUGUCGCUUAGUCAAUGUGGACAUAGGUCACAACCACAGAUGGAACAAGGAGACUGAUGUUUCACCGGAUGUAUAAAUCUGAAGGAUCCGGUUGGAAUUUCCACCCCUCACCAAAUAUGGUGAGGAGAGGAAGCCCAGUGGGAGAGUAAUGGAGCGAGAUGGAACUGGGCUGGCGUUCUGCUGAUUUUUCUCAUAGAAGAAGAAAAGCUCGAUUUCAAUUAGUUAUCUUUUCCCAAAACUAGAAUCUGUUACAGAGUGCAAUAAGUUUUGUAAAUGUGACCCUUUGCCAAAGUUCCCUAACGGAAAUAUGCAAAUAAAUGCCAGAACGCGCAAAUAGGA